GUUUUGGGGGUGAAAUUAACAGGCAAGUUGGUGAGCUUUGGUGAAGCAAACAACCUUACAUGAUGUGAGUGGUCCUUGUGCCCAGUUGAAGCCGUGAGUAAAACAAAGUCUGACAUAGCCUUGAGCAAGAAAGAACUCUACCUCCAGACAACUUCGGGGGCAGAUGCACUGUGCACUGGAGAGGCAGAGCAUCCUGCCUUCCACAGCCGUGCACACCAGUCCCUGUGCACAAGUGGCCACCCACCCAGCGAAUCGACGUGGUGUGCUUAUCAAAAUCUGUGUGUCUGUGGGCCAGAGCCAAAUCCAGCAGAGCCCCAUCCUGAAUGCCCAGCGGUGCCCACAGCCAGGAGGAGCAUUCGAUGUGUGAUGACUCAUCUCGUGCAUCAGACGCUCUCUAAAGUUCCCACAGAUUAUACCAUGGCUUAGUGAGUGCGAUUCUAAGACAGUUCCAAAAGACUUUUCAAUCCGUGGGAGUUUCAAAGUGGAUUCUCAGACAAACAUGGGGAGGACUGAGGCAGGCUUGGACACGCACAGAAUCAGACAACGAUGGGCUGAGGAAGUGGCUCAGCGGUUAAGAGCACUGUCUGCUCUUCCAAAGGUCCGGAGUUCAAAUCCCUGCAACCACAUGGUGGCUCACAACCAACUGUAAUGAGAUCUGGCGCCCUCUUCUGGAGUGUCUGAAGACAGAUACAGUGUACUUACAUAUAGUAAAUAAAUAAAUCUUAAAAAAAAAAAAAA
rnacentral:lncRNA from 1 species